GACGAACGCUGGCGGCGUGCCUAAUACAUGCAAGUCGAGCGAAUCGAUGGGAGCUUGCUCCCUGAGAUUAGCGGCGGACGGGUGAGUAACACGUGGGUAACCUGCCUGUAAGACUGGGAUAACUUCGGGAAACCGGAGCUAAUACCGGAUACUUUCUUUUCUCGCAUGAGGGAAGAUGGAAAGAUGGUUUUGCUAUCACUUACAGAUGGACUCGCGGCGCAUUAGCUAGUUGGUGAGGUAACGGCUCACCAAGGCAACGAUGCGUAGCCGACCGGAGAGGGUGAUCGGCCACACUGGGACUGAGACACGGCCCAGACUCCUACGGGAGGCAGCAGUAGGGAAUCUUCCGCAAUGGACGAAAGUCUGACGGAGCAACGCCGCGUGAGCGAAGAAGGCCUUCGGGUCGUAAAGCUCUGUUGCUAGGGAAGAACAAGUACGAGAGUAACUGCUCGUACCUUGACGGUACCUAACCAGAAAGCUACGGCUAACUACGUGCCAGCCGCCGCGGUAAGAC
rnacentral:rRNA from 1 species